UCAAUAAAAAGGUCAGGCAGCACACAAAAGUUAUCAUAGUUAUACUGUCUGACAAAAACUCAACCAACAUAAAGAGAUAGAAACUAGGACACAUAGGGUGUUCUCCACUGAAAAACAGAAAAACACCAAAGAUGUUUGGGAGAAAGAAACUUCACAACAAAAAUGUUGGAACAAGAUCGACUCAAUUCAAAAAAAAAUAUUUAUUUAUCUCUGAAGGCUAUUUUUCUCAAGGUGUAAACUUGUGUUUUUUUUUUUUUAUUUUAUUUUUUCUUCUUUUAUUCAUUUUUUAUCCAUAGGAACUUAGUUCUCCUCAGUACCGUAAUGCCUUGCUUCCAUCAGAUCUUUACGCGCGGAUCAUCUCGUCAUUACGGUAAAAGCAGGCUGCAUGCGGCGCUGCUGGGUCCGGCAGACGCGGAGUUGGACUGAAAGACGCUGCAGCAGCGACCAGAUCACGGACACUUUCAUUCUCCUAGAGCCAUAAGCAUCACUUCAUCUGGUCAGGAACAACUUAGACGUGGCUUCCUUGGCGUUUGGAUCUCUUCUGAGGAUCUUGACAAGAACUUUGUGAUAUCUGAGAACAGGAAAGCCCAUAUUGGACUCCAUCCAGUCUUUGGCCGCCUGAAGAGAAGUCAAGACACCAUCUCCUUGCUCAAGCUCUCUGGCUGCACCAGCAUGGCAGACAGUCGACAGCCAGAAGACAGCGUGCCCCAGUGGGACCCAUCAGGGGGACAAGAACCGGGUGGCCCCCUUGGAGCGAACGGCUACCCUUCCUCAGUUUACAGAACCACGGCCCCUUACAGCACAAGGGAGAACGGCUUUAAUGGGGAACUAACUGGGCUCCGGCUGUAACUGCAGGUAGGAUGAUGUUCUGGUUUAUAUCAUCAGAUUUUAAUUUUAUAAAUGAAUACUGGAAAAGAUGUGUCAAACUGUUAGUGGUC
rnacentral:lncRNA from 1 species